ACUCCUACGGGAGGCAGCAGUGGGGAAUAUUGCACAAUGGGCGCAAGCCUGAUGCAGCCAUGCCGCGUGUAUGAAGAAGGCCUUCGGGUUGUAAAGUACUUUCAGCAGUGAGGAAGGUGGGUAUGUUAAUAGCAUAUUCAUUUGACGUUAGCUGCAGAAGAAGCACCGGCUAACUCCGUGCCAGCAGCCGCGGUAAUACGGAGGGUGCGAGCGUUAAUCGGAAUUACUGGGCGUAAAGCGCAUGCAGGUGGUUUGUUAAGUCAGAUGUGAAAGCCCGGGGCUCAACCUCGGAAUUGCAUUUGAAACUGGCAAACUAGAGUACUGUAGAGGGGGUAGAAUUUCAGGUGUAGCGGUGAAAUGCGUAGAGAUCUGAAGGAAUACCGGUGGCGAAGGCGGCCCCCUGGACAGAUACUGACACUCAGAUGCGAAAGCGUGGGGAGCAAACAGGAUUAGAUCCCUGGUAGGCUCUGC
rnacentral:rRNA from 1 species